rnacentral:rRNA from 1 species
GGUUAAGGCCACACCGCCUGGUUCACGCCCGAUCUUGUUUGAUCUCGGAAGAUAAGAUAGGUUGGGCCUGGUUAGUACUUGGAUGGGAGACCGCCUGGGAAUACCAGGUGCUGUAACUU